rfam:Asian citrus Psyllid, Diaphorina citri - Florida Strain, whole genome shotgun sequence.
GCCUAGUUAGCUUAGUUGGUAGUGCGUCUGCCUUGUAAGCGUUAGGCCGCGGGUUCGAUUCCCGCCCGGGGCG